CUGCUCAGAUUGAAUCGCUGCGGCAGCUAACACAUGCUAAGUCGAGCGCAGGAGUGCUGCACGUCGUGAGCAGGGCUGACGCGUGAGUAACGCCUAGGAAUCUGCGUGCUAGUGGCGGAUAACGCUCGGAAACGGACGAUAAUACCGCAUACGUCGUAAGAGAGAAAGCAGGCGUCGUUUAGGCCUUGAGAUAUCAGAUGAGCCUAGGUCUGAUCACCUAGUUGUUGGGGUAAUUGCUCACCAAGACGACGAUCCGUAACUGGUCUGCGAGGAUGAUCACUCUCACUGGUACUGAGACACGGUCCAGAAUCCUACGGGAGGCAGCAGUGGCGAAUAUUUGACAAUGGGAGCAAGCCUGAUUCAGCCACAACGCGUGCAUGAAGAAGGUCUUCGGAUUGUAAAACACUUUAAGUCGGGAGGAAGGGCAUUAUCUUAAUUCGUUAGUGUUUAGGCGUUUCCGACAGAAUUAGCACCGGGUAACUUUGUUCCCGCCACCGCGGUAAUUCAGAGGGGGCAAGCGUUAAUUGGAAUUCCUGGGGGUAAAGCGCGCGUAGGGGGUUCUUUAAAGUGGAUGGGAAAUCCCCGGGCUCAACCCGGGAAAUGCCUUCAAAACUGUCGAGUUAGAGUAUGGUAGAGGGUGGGGGAAUUUCCUGGGUAGCGGGGAAAAGCGUAGAUAUAGGAAGGAACCCCCGGGGGGAAGGGGACCCCCUGGACUGAUACUGGCAGUGAGGGGGGAAAGCGUGGGGAGCAAACCAGAUUAGAUUCCCUGGUAGUUCCCCCCGUAAACGAUGUCAACUCACCGUUGGGAACCCUGAGCUCUUAGUGGCGCAGCUAACGCAUUAAGUGACCGUACU
rnacentral:rRNA from 1 species